UUCUUCCCUAUUAAUGGUGUCUUUGUUUUUCCUCUUCUCUUCUUCUCCAUGGAUAUAUAGAGUUGCGGAUUUCAGGAAAUUACUCAGUACUAAUGAGUAAUGAGAUUUCACUCUUUUAUGUACUGUUAAUUAGAAUAUUAGUAUGUUAGCCACCGUUGAUUUCGUAUGAAAUUGGAGGAUUUUGAUUUGAUUUGGUGAUGACUUGGUGAUAAAUAUGAUGAAUGUGGUAUCUUCAAAUCUUCUUCUUGUUAGGAUUUUCAAUUUUUAAUUCGAUAGCGAUUUUGUUUUUUCGAUUUUAAUUUGAUUUGGUGAUGACAUCUAUGAGCGGUAUCAGUUUUGCCAUCGCGGACAGGUUUUCAGCCUGUGAUUGAGCAAGUCGCGAACAGGUUUUUCUGUCGAAUUUUUUGUUGAGAAACCUUAAUGAUUGUAUGCAUCUCCAUUAUCAUUCCAUUGAAAAAAAAACAUGAAUGCAUCUUAUGUUAAACACCAUUGUGGGCUUAGCAAACUGUGGACGUGCGCAUCCAAUAUUAAGUGCUUCUUUCUACGAAAUCUUUAAAAGAAAUGUGAAUCUAAGUGUUUGGUAUCAGUUCAAAUCUUCUUCUUGAGGUAUGGUUUUCAGCCUGUGAUUGAGCAAGUCGCGAACAGGUUUUUCUGUUGAAUGUUUUCUUGAGAAACCUUAAUGAUUGUAUGCAUCUCCAUUAUCAUUCCAUUGACAAAAAAAACAUGAAUGCAUCUUAUGUUAAACACCAUUGUGG
rnacentral:lncRNA from 1 species